CAACAGCUUCUGCAACAGUGAGGAAAAUCUUGUCCUCUCCAAUUAUGUUAGCAAAAUUUGAUGUGUAAAGUUUGUCUGUCACUGCUGAACCAGGAUUUGCCAGAACAAGCUGCUCAAACAAGUAACAAACUCUUGGAUCAAUCUCAUUACUAAGCAAUGUCCCCAACAAGAGAGAAACCACUGCCACUGGUCCUAUUGCUAUAUCGCGAGAACUACCCAUGAAAGCAUAAAUCAAUGGUGGAACAAAGCUUGAAUCUGUAAAAGGGUAAACAAAAAGUAACAAAAUUUCAGUUCAACAUCCAAAAAUCUAUAAAAUAAAAAAUAACUUGGGAUACAAGAGUCUUACACAGUCCAUACUGUGGAGCCAAAUGUGCAAGCUUGGAAUAUCCAAUAUCCUAUUUUUCAAACCAAGUAUUAGAACAUCAAACAUGUAACAAAUAAUCAUAUGAAUUAUAAUUUUGUAUUAGUAUCAUAAAUUAAAUUUACCUGAGGUAUGCAAAGACUUGCAAUAGUGAGACCAGCUAUAAUAUCUCCCCUAAAUUUUUUAAGAUUAUAACUUCUCCCCCAAUUAAGUAUAGGAAAUAUGAACUCAAUACCAAGGAGUAACUUUCUUGAUUUAGUUUGGUCUUUGAAAGAUCUUAGAGGAU